AGCGAACGCUGGCGGCAGGCUUAACACAUGCAAGUCGAGCGGGCCCUUCGGGGUCAGCGGCAGACGGGUGAGUAACGCGUGGGAACGUGCCCUUCGGUUCGGAAUAACUCAGGGAAACUUGAGCUAAUACCGGAUACGCCCUUAUGGGGAAUGGUUUACUGCCGAAGGAUCGGCCCGCGUCUGAUUAGCUAGUUGGUGAAGUUAUGGCUCACCAAGGCGACGAUCAGUAGCUGGUCUGAGAGGAUGAUCAGCCACACUGGGACUGAGACACGGCCCAGACUCCUACGGGAGGCAGCAGUGGGGAAUAUUGGACAAUGGGGGCAACCCUGAUCCAGCCAUGCCGCGUGAGUGAUGACGGCCUUAGGGUUGUAAAGCUCUUUUCUCCGGGACGAUAAUGACGGUACCGGAGGAAUAAGCCCCGGCUAACUUCGUG
rnacentral:rRNA from 1 species